AUCUAUAAUAUCGUCGAUAACUCUGUCCAUCUCGCUUCCAUCAUCGCUCAAAGCUUCCACGCAUCUACUCAAGAGAAACGCUGUCGUUUCAGCCUCUGGAAGCAACCGCAAACACGAACCAAAAACAAUCUGCGCCAGCUCCCGGUUAACAACAAUCACUCGACGGAAGUACUUUUCCGUUAUCUGCCUCAAGUUCUCGUCGCGUUUAUUGUCUGUCAUCCCCAGCACCUCGGCUGCGGUUCUCAGCGCCGCCACGUUGAACGGCGUUAACACUACGUGGGUACCGUAGCAGAAGUCUGCAACAAGGGCGAACGUUUCAGCCGUUAUGUUUAGCGGGAGCGUUAUUUCGGAGAGUUCCGUUAGUUGACGUUUCAAAUACGUGCUCCUCGAUACUAGCGGUUCCUUAUGCAGAUGAAAGCAGGUUCCCUGGACAUAUAUCAAGACAUCUGUUUGCUUCCCUGUUGCCUGGGACCAGGACUCAACUCUAGAAUGGAGAGGUAUGGGAGGAGAAGAAAUGGAUGGAGAGGCAGAAGAACAUUCAGAAUCUUCCUCAUAGAUGGUGUCUACAAGCCCCAAUUCUUUCCAGCCCCUCAUCUUCUGGUGCCUCUUCAAUAAGGAGAUAGCAGUUUUGGUUUUCAAUUUUCAAGGUGGUUUGAAUGCUUGGUGGUGUAAAUGGC
rnacentral:misc_RNA from 1 species